rnacentral:rRNA from 1 species
AUUAUACAGCGAAACUGCGAAUGGCUCAUUAUAUAAGUUAUCGUUUAUUUGAUAGUACCUUACUACUUGGAUAACCGUGGUAAUUCUAGAGCUAAUACAUGCUAAAAAUCCCGACUUACGAAGGGAUGUAUUUAUUAGAUUAAAAACCAAUGCCCUUCGGGGCUCACUGGUGAUUCAUAAUAACUUCUCGAAUCGCAUGGCCUUGCGCCGGCGAUGGUUCAUUCAAAUUUCUUCCCUAUCAACUUUCGAUGCUAGAGUAGUGUUCUAGCAUGGUUACAACGGGUAACGGAGGGUUAGGGCUCGACCCCGGAGAAGGAGCCUGAGAAACGGCUACUACAUCCAAGGAAGGCAGCAGGCGCGCAAAUUACCCAAUCCCGACACGGGGAGGUAGUGACGAUAAAUACUGAUACAGGGCUCUUUUGGGUCUUGUAAUUGGAAUGAGUACAAUUUAAAUCCCUUAACGAGGAACAAUUGGAGGGCAAGUCUGGUGCCAGCAGCCGCGGUAAUUCCAGCUCCAAUAGCGUAUAUUAAAGUUGUUGUGGUUAAAAAGCUCGUAGUAGAACCUUGGGCCUGGCUGGCCGGUCCGCCUCACCGCGUGCACUGGUCCGGCCGGGCCUUUCCCCCUGUGGAACCUCAUGCCCUUCACUGGGUGUGUGGGAAAACAGGACUUUUACUUUGAAAAAAUUAGAGUGCUCCAGGCAGGCCUAUGCUCGAAUACAUUAGCAUGGAAUAAUAGAAUAGGACGUGUGGUUCUAUUUUGUUGGUUUCUAGGACCGCCGUAAUGAUUAAUAGGGACAGUCGGGGGCAUCAGUAUUCAAUUGUCAGAGGUGAAAUUCUUGGAUUUAUUGAAGACUAACUACUGCGAAAGCAUUUGCCAAGGAUGUUUUCAUUUAUCAGGAACGAAAGUUAGGGGAUCGAAGACGAUCAGAUACCGUCGUAGUCUUAACCAUAAACUAUGCCGACUAGGGAUCGGACGAUGUUAUUUUUUGACUCGUUCGGCACCUUACGAGAAAUCAAAGUGC